AUUGAACGCUGGCGGCAGGCCUAACACAUGCAAGUCGAACGAGUGGCGGAGGGGUGAGUAAUGUCGGGGAAACUGCCUGAUGGAGGGGGAUAACUACUGGAAACGGUAGCUAAUACCGCAUAGCUUCAGAUGAUCCAAGAUGGGAUUAGCUAGUUGGUGGGGUAACGGCUCACCAAGGCGACGAUCCCUAGCUGGUCUGAGAGGUUGACCAGCCACACUGGAACUGAGACACGGUCCAGACUCCUACGGGAGGCAGCAGUGGGGAAUAUUGCGCAAUGGGAGCAAGCCUGAUGCAGCCAUGCCGCGUGAGUGAAGAAGGCCUUCGGGUUGUAAAGUACUUUCAUCGGGGAGGCGUUACCCACAAAGAAAGCACCGGCUAACUCCGUGCCAGCAGCCGCGGUAAUAC
rnacentral:rRNA from 1 species